GGUGACUUAGUGUAAUGGUUCCAUGCCUGGUUUACCUUUGCCGUGAUAACUAUCUACCAGCAGGGAGGGGGUUCGAAUCCUUUAGUUACUA